rnacentral:lncRNA from 1 species
AAAGAGAAUGGGAAUUUUGAGUCAUGGUAGCAUUUCCAAAUCACAGCAUCCAGAAGUCUUGUGUAGAUGAGAGAAGCCAGUCACCAGGUAUCACUAGCAGGCAUCUUUCUGAAGUGGGUCUUUUGCCCACAACCUGCAGAUCCAUGAUCUUUGCACUUGAACGCACCUAGGAGUGAGUCACCGGGGAAUCCUGCUGAAAUGCCGACUCUGACUCGAUACCACUGACAUGAAAGAUACUGAACGAAUUCCCUGGAAAAGCAGACAGUCACAUCCCUCUGCGCGCGUGCCGGUUUCCGGAGAGGAACUGAUGCGGCCGCAGCUGCUCUCGGCCUCUUUGCAGAUGUCCUCGUCCCCACCCCGUGCUAAGGUCGUCUUAGAAAAUAGCUGAGGGCCGACAGCAAUGAAGAAGCUGAGGCCCAACGUAGUAGACGAUUUGGCCAAGGUCACCCAGCGGGGAAGUAGCUGUCUUGAGGGGUCCGUGCUGCGGUCAAGGUCUGGCAGAAGGCAAUCUUGGAAAGCAGUGUUAGCGAGAUGGCCGGGAGCACUGUCACCCCGACCCAAAACGACUUGAUCGUUUCCACUGUAUCAUCAUUUCAGAAAUCUUAGCAGCUUCGGAAUUCACAUUAUGGCCUAACUCCCUUUUAACCUCCACCACUCUGACUGGUUUUCUACAGAAGAGGAAACAGAACUCCGACCUGGCUCACUCUCUCCACGGUCACACAGCAAGUGAGAAGCAGAAACAUACUGUAAACCAAGUUACUUGGCCUCCAACACCUGUGCUCCUUUUGAGGCCAUACAUCCUCCUAGUGGUGUUUUAAGAUAGAGGACCAGGCAGUAUUUGUCUCUAUAGGAAUAGUCAUGAAAUUCUGACCUUUACUCUGAAAGACCAUCAUUUACUGUUUCAAAGGAAUACCAGAAGUUAAAGUGGCAAUUGCUCAAUAUUCAGCCUGGGGAGCAAGGAGGGAGGGAGCAACGAAGGAAGGAUAAUGAAUGCUUGAAUUUAUAAUAUAAUGAGUUUCCUGCAAUUAUCAGAAAUGUCCACUAGAUGUCACUAUUUCACACUACUUCUGCAAAGCCAUCCCUGUAAAGAAAUUUUGACCUUUGGACAGAGAUGAUUUUAUCUCUUAUAAUGGAAAAAAGCUCAGUCAUUUCUAAUGUCUUUGGAUUGCUUCCUUGUUUCUCUUAAAUUUGCCUCAAGAGAGAAUGCAAAAACAUAGACUUUAAUUAAGGCCUGAGACAAUAUCCUGAUAGUGGGAGAUAUUAACCAAGACAUUACCCACUCAAGGGGUUUCCAGGCUGUUCCAGGGCUAGAGACAUUGCAGGAAGCCCUCAUUUUGCUGGGUUGUAGAGCUCCCAUCAGCACUUUGUGGUAACUCUACCAUGCUCACUGCUUCAGACUCAGAGAACCAGUAAUUGAGCAACAUCCAAAAGACAGCACAUUGGGGUUUUAAAUUGUGCUUUUUUCUUGAAAUAGUUCUCACACUUUGUUUUACAAGACUGAGGCUCAAAGGACUAUAGUGAGUUUAUGUGUCAUAUACACAUUUAAUAGAUAUGCAUACAUCACACUCAUAAUUCAAAUGAGGACUGUCCUGUGCUUAUGGAGGCUUUUUUCCCAAGUAUAAUUGGAGUCAAAUUUACAGAUCAUCAUUUCAGGUUUUCAUAAGUUUUAAAGCAGACUGCCAUUGCAUUAACCAGGCUCACAAUUGCAACCUCAGCUAUAUUUAGCACAGAGAAACUUUUUUUUUUUUGCUUUUUAGGGCUGCAAUCCUGGCAUAUGGAGAUUCCCAGGCUAGGGAUCCAAUCAGAGCUACAGCUAGUGGCCUACGCCACAGCCACAGCAAGGCCAGAUCCGAACUGCAUCUGCGACCUACACCACAGCUCACAGCAACACCAGAUCCUUUACCCACUGAGUGAAGCCAGGGAUCGAACCCUCAACCUCAUGGUUCCUAGUUGGAUUUGUUUCCGCUGUGCCACAACAGGAACUCCUUAACUAUUUUUUCAGUUUAAACAUAUUCAUGAGGUCUGUUGAUGGAAAAUGUGGGGACUGCUGAUUUUCAAGUUCCCAGCAAGUUUGGAAGUUUAUGUACUUUAUUAGGGUUCUCUACUGAGAGUCUUUCUUCUAAUAUUUUUUUAAAAAACUGAAAUUGAGCCAAUCAUUAAUGGCAGGUCAAGUCUGGCUACCCUAAGAAGACACUGAACUCAUUCUGUUAUAAAAAGCGAACGCUUUCUGCUUGGUCAUUUUUGGAAGGUGGUGCCACUUUUUUAGACCAAAAGAGCGGUUUGGCUUGAAAGGCCCAUAUUUCAUCCACAAACACAUCUUACUUGGGGCUCAAUGCAGUCACUGAGCAGGCAGUGAGUUAAAAGGCUCAGAGAAGCAGGUCUCGGCCUCCAUAGGCUGAUGGAUUGUGAGAUAAGUCAAAGUUAUUUCUUACUAAUAAUAAAGAGACAAAUGCAGCAAUUUACUUUUUAAAAAAAUUAUGAGCCCCGGUUCCAGCUAAACCCCCAUUGUGGCCUCACGAGUUUUCCUUCCUUGAUGUGCUCACUGAAGCAGAAUAGGAAGGGAUGGAGGAUUUAAGGGCUAUAGGACAGGUUCACAAAGUUCCAGCCUCCAUAGGAAGCACGAGGCUUUUGUACACAUGCAUACCUAUAAGAAUAAGAAAAACUGUUUUGACUACAAAAGAGAAACAAGCAAUAAAAUAUCAACAG